GGGCCCGCACAAGCGGUGGAGCAUGUGGUUUAAUUCGAUGAUACGCGAGGAACCUUACCAGGGCUUAAAUGUAGUAUGACCGGUCUAGAAAUAGACCUUCUCUUCGGAGCAGAUUACAAGGUGCUGCAUGGUUGUCGUCAGCUCGUGCCGUGAGGUGUUAGGUUAAGUCCUGCAACGAGCGCAACCCCUAUUCUUAGUUGCCAGCGGUUCGGCCGGGGACUCUAAGAAGACUGCCAGCGCAAGCUGAGAGGAAGGUGGGGAUGACGUCAAAUCAUCACGGCCCUUACGUCCUGGGCUACACACGUGCUACAAUGGUACAGACAGAGGGCAGCCACCUGGCGACAGGGAGCU
rnacentral:rRNA from 1 species